AGUGACCACUUUUCUCUCCAGCUGCCUCGCAUGAUGGCAAAUGGCAUAUUUAAAUGGUAAAAGGCUUGAUCUCUAUCUCAAAACAUUUGACAUACUCACACUGAAGAUGGAAAAAACUGUUUUUGAUGGCUUCAGAGGAAAGACUGUGUACUAAGAAGAGCAAGACUCAGGGUGGAACAGCCCUUCUCUGGAGCAUACCAAAGAAGAAUUGGAUCCAACCUAUAGUUGACCAGAAGCCACCUAGUGUUUUUAAGAGGAGAAUAACAUUACUAAGUUGAAAUGAUCACUCUGAUGCUAGGGUGGAAGGAACAUGAAUUGCAAAGGAAGAAAUUGGUAGCAGGGGAACCAAUUACAAGGUAUGUACCAAGUGUUAUGAACAGGAUAUGUAAUAAUGGUAUUAUCGAAUAUUGUUUCCAGCAUGAUACAUC
rnacentral:lncRNA from 1 species